GGUUCGUUUGAGGCCUCAUAUAUUAGACAGUCGACGAUGAACCACUUCGGUGGGGAUUAGUGGCGAACGGGUGAGUAACACCUGGGCAAUCUGCCCUGCACUCUGGGACAAGCCCUGGAAACGGGGUCUAAUACCGGAUACUGACCCGCUUGGGCAUCCAAGCGGUUCGAAAGCUCCGGCGGUGCAGGAUGAGCCCGCGGCCUAUCAGCUUGUUGGUGAGGUAAUGGCUCACCAAGGCGACGACGGGUAGCCGGCCUGAGAGGGCGACCGGCCACACUGGGACUGAGACACGGCCCAGACUCCUACGGGAGGCAGCAGUGGGGAAUAUUGCACAAUGGGCGAAAGCCUGAUGCAGCGACGCCGCGUGAGGGAUGACGGCCUUCGGGUUGUAAACCUCUUUCAGCAGGGAAGAAGCGAAAGUGACGGUACCUGCAGAAGAAGCGCCGGCUAACUACGUGCCAGCAGCCGCGGUAAUACGUAGGGCGCGAGCGUUGUCCGGAAUUAUUGGGCGUAAAGAGCUCGUAGGCGGCUUGUCACGUCGGUUGUGAAAGCCCGGGGCUUAACCCCGGGUCUGCAGUCGAUACGGGCAGGCUAGAGUUCGGUAGGGGAGAUCGGAAUUCCUGGUGUAGCGGUGAAAUGCGCAGAUAUCAGGAGGAACACCGGUGGCGAAGGCGGAUCUCUGGGCCGAUACUGACGCUGAGGAGCGAAAGCGUGGGGGAGCGAACAGGAUUAGAUACCCUGGUAGUCCACGCCGUAAACGGUGGGCACUAGGUGUGGGCGACAUUCCACGUCGUCCGUGC
rnacentral:rRNA from 1 species